rnacentral:rRNA from 1 species
UACGGGGGGGGCAAGCGUUGUUCGGAAUUACUGGGCGUAAAGGGUUCGUAGGUGGCCAACUAAGUCAUACGUGAAAUCCCUCAGCUUAACUGGGGAACUGCGUCUGAUACUGGUUGGCUUGAGUGCAGGAGAGGAACGCGGAAUUCCAGGUGUAGCGGUGAAAUGCGUAGAUAUCUGGAGGAACACCGGUGGCGAAGGCGGCUUCCUGGCCUGCAACUGACGCUGAGACGCGAAAGCGUGGGGAGCGAACCGG